AUGAGGAGAGCGUGCAGGAAACUAUUGAGGUCAGUGCCAUGCACGAGCAGGAGAAGUGAGUCUAGGAAGGAUAUGGAGGAAAUUCUAAGGGCUAAGCUUUAUACUAUCAAUGAAGAGCCAGAAUUGUGUGAAGAGAAUCUAACAUCACCGAGAAACAUGAGGAUUGCUAAGAAGCAAGGGAAGAAGAAUAAAGCAGGACGAUGUUUAGUACCUCAUGUUAAUCUUAAGCAGUCUUAUGUCUUGUUUGUUAAUGGGUUUGUUUCAAAAAGUAACUUUGCUGGGUUUCUUCAACGCUAA